ACAGCCGGCAGGCAACCCUGGCCAGCCCCCACUCCUCACCAAGCUUUCAGAAGAGAUUGAUACACACCGCCUGACAGCACCCUGGCUCUGACUGCAGCACACUCCAUCGUCAUCACACCACGGAGCCUCAGGUCACCCUUGACGUGGCAGUUCCAGGAACUGGCCUUAGGAAAUCUAAAUAUGAAACCAAGGUUAUGGAGUAUCCCACCUCAGGAAGGAACACUGAACAACUGACUGACAGUCUUCUUGCCGCCAGCCAGACCACCAAGUGGCCCAUUAACCAAGAGAACCAGCGCAACCAGAUAUGCUGAUCCGCAUCUCCUACCUCUCACGUGCUUUGCCCAGCCCAGCCUGCAUGCCUUACUCAUGAUGUCAAUUCCCACACUUCACUAAUAAAAACAUCCCUGCAAGCCUCUUCAGGGAGCCAA